ensembl:lncRNA
CUGUCUAGUUAUGUCUGUAAAAACAGUCAUGUCUACUGUCUAGUUAUGUCUGUAAAAACAGUCAUGUCUACUGUCUAGUUAUGUCUGUAAAAACAGUAACGUCUACUGUUUAGUUAUGUCUGUAAAAACAGUCAUGUCUACUGUCUAGUUAUGUCUGUAAAAACAGUCAUGUCUACUGCCUAGUUAUGUCUGUAAAAACAGUAAUGUCUACUGUCUAGUUAUGUCUGUAAAAACAGUAACAUCUACUGUCUAGUUAUGUCUGUAAAAACAGUAAAGUCUACUGUCUAGUUAUGUCUGUAAAAACAGUCAUGUCUACUGUCUAGUUAUGUCUGUAAAAACAGUAAUGUCUACUGUCUAGUUAUGUCUGUAAAAACAGUCAUGUCUACUGCCUAGUUAUGUCUGUAAAAACAGUCAUGUCUACUGUCUAGUUAUGUCUGUAAAAACAGUAACGUCUACUGUCUAGUUAUGUCUGUAAAAACAGUAACGUCUACUGUCUAGUUAUGUCUGUAAAAACAGUAACGUCUACUGUCUAGUUAUGUCUGUAAAAACAGUAACGUCUACUGUCUAGUUAUGUCUGUAAAAACAGUAACGUCUACUGUCUAGUUACGUCUGUAAAAACAGUAACGUCUACUAUUUAGUUAUGUCUGUAAAAACAGUAACGUCUACUGUCUAGUUAUGUCUGUAAAAACAGUAACGUCUACUGUCUAGUUAUGUCUGUAAAAACAGUAACAUCUACUGUUUAGUUAUGUCUGUAAAAACAGUAACGUCUACUGUCUAGUUAUGUCUGUAAAAACCGUAACGUCUACUGUCUAGUUACGUCUGUAAAAACAGUAACGUCUACUGUCUAGUUAUGUCUGUAAAAACCGUAACGUCUACUGUCUAGUUAUGUCUGUAAAAACCAAAACGACACAUACACAAAAAGAUGACUGUAAAAAAAAGACUGAAGGUGUGAUAAGCCACUCAGCAAAAGAGAAUGAAACUGAGGUCUGUAUGCACACGACAAAUGUUGUGUUGCCUCUCUGGAACAGCGAUUUCCUAAACAGCAGAUGGUUUCUGACCCUGGGAAUGGGACACUGUGGUGGAGGAGGAGCUGUCGCCCUAAAAAAAACGCUUCCUGCUUCACACGCUCUGUGUGUGUGUGUGUGUGCACAUCUUUGAGUCUUUCAUUCUGUAUGUGGGGUGUAUAUAUAUAUAUAUAUGUGUGUGUGUGUGUGUGUGUGUGUGUGUGUGUGUGUGUGUGUGUAUUCUAUACGUGCAGUUUUUGAGUGUGUGUCUAUUUACAUCAUCUACAAUAUUUGUAUGAGAGAGGAUGCAUCUAUUGUGUGUAUCUGUUUGUGGUAUUCACUGUGCAAUUCCGCUUUCUUCCCACCAGGUUGUAUGAUAAAUGUGCCUUUGUGUCCAAUUCCAAACAUUCCAUCAGCAGCCUGUUGUAACAGAAAAGUAACACAAAAUGUAUUAUUCUAUCAACACAUUAUGUCCAAUAUAAUAGAUUAUUCUUUCUUUGCAAAAAAGAAAACUCCAGACCAGACCUUGUAAAACCUUCACUAUUGCCCCAACACAACAUAUUGGGUGGAUUGAGUGUGUGUGGGUGCGUGCCUGGGUGUGUGUGUGUGUCUGUUUGUCUAUGUGUGUGCGCGUGAAUGCGUAUGUGUGUGUGUGCAUACAUGCGUGUGACACAGUCAAGCUGUGGGAGCAGGUGUUUGAGUGGAUGAGCGGCCUGAUUGUCUAACUACUGAGGAAAAUUAUGUUUCCUAUUGUUCUGACUGUCAACAUCGGACCCCAAGUGCCACUCACACACCACCGAUCAGGUGUUUGCCAUAAAAGAGAAAACAUUCAGCAAAUCAAAGGACAAACUUUCACCUCUCUCCUUUCUGAUGAUUAGAUUGACACUAUAAUGUUCCAUCUGCAUUUUUUGUCAAAAUGUAGUUAUUGAUAUAGCCUUGUUCUGUUCAGUGUUCACAACUCAUAUAGUACUCUAGAUACCCAAUUCAUGUUGCUAUGUUCAAAAGAAUACACAAUAAAAAUUGCUGACACCAUUCAAACCGAUUAGGAUUCAGAACUUUAAAGCCAAUUUUCUCAGAAUCCUCUUUUUUGCAGACAGAACCUUAUAGUUCCAGGCUCUCGACAUGGUGAAAUGACCUGGCCCACUUCAAAAACCAAAAAAGAGCUGCCAAUAUGUUUACAAAACACACACCUGAUGUUAUUACAUGUAGUCAAAAUAAUUGUCCAAUCAAAAAUAAUUUAAAUCUGAAGAAAAUAUAGAUACUAACAGAAGGGGAUUAAAUGAUGACCAAAUUGUCAGUAGACAAUGUAACCUGGUUCCUUAUUGUAUGUGUGCCAGCCACAUUAUUUUUAAUAAAGCAAGAUUAAAUGAAAGUCAGAUUCAGCUGCCUAGGAAAUGGUGAAAAUACCUGAGGGCUUGAAAGCAGUCAGUUGAACCACCUGGUAAAGUAAAACAGACGUGUUGAUGUCUGGGAGAUGGUUCAGAAUUCGUCAAAUACACAAUGAACCAUUUAGGAGUGAUGGUAGGCCAAAUGAGAGGAUAGAGUCUCUAUAGAUGCAUAAUACCAAACAUACCUGGUUUCCUGAUGCAGGUUUCAAGGAGAAACUACUUUCUUUUCCAAAAC